CCGCGUCCGUCCGUCGAGCCACUGCCGCGUCCGUCCGUCGAGCUCGGCCACCGUUCGUCCGUGUAGCCACUGCACCCAAGUCUCCAACUCCCCUGCUCUCUUCUUCCGCGAGCUCGCCCCAUCCCCUACUCUUUGCAUCUUCUUGCCAUCGGGUUCAUCUUCUUGCCGUCGUCUGGUCGGUGUCGUCCAUCAGUGAAGGGUCUGUCGGCGUCGUCUUCGAAGGCCCAUAACCGCCAACAAUGGCUGACCAACGUCCCAAGAGACUGCGUACCGAUGGUCAAGCUCAGGUUGAAGUUCCUAACGAAGACCAUUACUACAGGCGGCGACGCUACCCUUCUCAAGUCGAAUUGUAUGAAGGAAAAAAAAAAAACAGCAACCUUCAUCUUUGAAUUUGUCCAAUUUCGGGGUCUCGAAAGGAAACACGACAAAGUAAGGAACUGUACAUAUCACGAGGCCAGUAAAAUUCGUGACAAGACGGUUCUGGUUCUUGGAUGCGGUACAGGCAUCCUAUCUUUUUUUUGUGCUAAGGCUGGGGCAACAAAAGAAACUCAGUAGAUACUCCUCCGGGGCAUACCUAAGCAUGGCAUAUAUGGAUUUCAAAGAAUUGCUAUUACUUCAUCUACUUCUAAUGAAUCUGUCUCAGACCAGUAAGUUCAUUUUCCUAGAGAUAAUCAAGUUCUCAAUUUGUUCCUAGAAGUUUCCAUGCUAAUUGUCCCUUAUUUUCUCUUUGGCCUGAUAGAUCAGGUCAUGCUUCGUCCAAUGUAAUCAAGAAUGUCAUUUCUGAAUGUAAUCUUCCUAUUUCUAAUAAUAAUGCAACGAACAAUAAGGUUUGUGAAUACUGUUGCAUGGCAAAGAUGCAUGCCCUUCUAUUUCAAUCUGAUUCUUUUCAAUUUUAUGCACCUUUAGAGAUGAUUUAUCCUGAUGUUUGGGGUCCAGCACCUAUGUUAUCUUAUCAUGGUUUUUGAUAUUAUGUUUCUUUUGUGGAUGCAUUUAAUAGACUUACUUCAAUCUUUUUACUUCAAACAAAAUCACAAGUUUUACAGGCAUUCAUGUAAUUUAAAAAUCAAAUGGAGAACCACAUAGAUUUCAAGAUUAAGUCCCUGUUCUUUUCUAACUAUGCAUCGUAUUUUUCAUAGAUUCUCAUGCCCUCACACCUAUCAACAAAAUGGGAGGGCUAAAAGAAAACAUAGGCACAUCGUAGAGAUUGGUAUAGUCUCGUAAAAGAUGUGUUACACAAAUCUUGCAGAUUGAUGCUAAGUCAGUCCCAACACGUAUGAUUACUUGCAUAUUCAGACUAAUUUACAAAAUUUAUAUGAAUUAACAUAUAGAGAAAGAACGGUUGCCCUGCCUUAGCACAAAAAAUGGAUAGGAUGCCUGUACUGCAUCCAAGAACCAAAACCGUCUGAAAAUGCAUGCAAUUAAUAACAAAAGAUGAAAAGAACAAUAAGAAUGGAAAAAAAAAAGUUUAUAAUUAAUUACCGUGUUACGAAUUUUACUGGUAUGAUAGUAGAUGGCCUCAUGAGAUGUACGGUUCCUUACUUUGUCCUUUCGUGAGAAAGAAAAAAUAAAGAAACUUACAAUUGCAUAAUCUUGAAAAAACACCAUUUCAUAUGAUCUAUGGAAGCCUAUUUCAGUGUCAUAAACUGUCUAGUUUUCGGGUUUUACACCGAAAAGGUUUAAACAAUAUUUAUAGCUAGAUGAUGGUGUGCAAUAUCAGUCUGCCAUAAACCGCCGGUUACUAGAUCUAAUCCUCCACAAAAAGUAAGAAAAUUUGUGUAUUUUAACCAAUUCAAGGUGAAAUUGAAACAAAAAUAUUUGAUUCGCCGAUCCUAAAAAAAGAAAUAAACAAAGAGUUCUUAUGUGUUUCCAUGCCGCCUUUUGAAAAAUCAAAGUUGUAUUAACCUUGUUUUUUUUUUUCUUCGUUCAAUUUGAUUUGAGGAAGGUAGUGUUGCCGGUAGUAAUGGUCUUCGUUAGGAAAUUCAACCUGAGCUUGACCGUCGGUACGCGGUCUCAUCGGAUGUUGGUCAGCCAUUGUUGGCGGUUAUGAGCCUAAAAAUUAUCAGCAAUCUAAGUACAAUAUCACAGGUUCACAAGAACUCACGCCUUCAUUUGACAAGAAAGCAUGCAUCUUCUAUAAAGAGGGACAGAGCAAAAGAGCAUGAAGAGUGUGUCAGGGGUUAACCACUACAACACACAACUUCUUCGGAUUUUGGAUGGGGGUAGCAGUGUCACAGGCUAACAUUACGGAUGCGCAGUAACAUUAAUUUCACACUAUAUAUAUAGUUGUAAGGGGCAUGAUUCUGAGGUUCACUUGUAUUAGUAUACGUGUGAGGUUGACAUGCAAAAACUAUCAUAAACCAAACACAAAUAAACAAUGACAAAAUCAUAUCAGUGAGGGCCCAGAAGCAAUUAUGAUACAUCAAUUUUUUGCAAA